AAGGGCCAUCUACGGUUGAAACAAAACAAACCACGGGUGAAAAUGAACAUCAUCUUCGCAUUCUUCCUCUUCACAAGAGUUCAACCUAACGUCUUUGCGUACAGAGAUCAAGAUCUACAAGAUUUUCUCACUCGUCACAUAGAUCAAGAUCUACAAGAUUUGCUCCAUGAAAACCCCUCUGUUUACCUCUCGCUGAUCAAGAUCUACGAGAUUUGCUCCAUGAAAACCCCUCUGUUUACCUCUCGCUGGUAUAUCAGUGAAGAUGACUCGGUAAUUCCAAUGCUGAAAAUGCUUAAAAAUUUUGGUCACGCUGUAUUCUUAGUGACAAAUAGGUACUUUUAUAUUCUUAACUUUUUUCCUCUAUGACUAUACACUUUUGUUUGUUAUUUAUGAAAAAUUAUAUAAUAUUAGUACCUUCAUUGUAUAUAUUAAUAAUUUCAUUUUCUUAUGUGUUAUAUUUGUAACCUAUAAUUGGUUAAUUUAAAGUGUACUCUUUGGGAUUAUACAAAUGUCGUGAUGAACUUUUUCUUUGAGGCGCACACAAUCGAUGGUUGCUCCUCUCCGAGUUUUGAUUAGCUCCAAGAUUUUGUUGAAGUGUUAUAUUUGUAACCUAAGUUUGUUUAACUUCUUCCUUUUCAGUCAAUUGAAUUAUUAUCAAUCACCUACUGUUUCUAUCUAUAAUGGCAAUAUUUGCUUAUUUCUCAUAACUUUUUCGUGAGAGAAAAGCUAUGAGAAAUAACCAAAUAUGGCUAUUACAAAAAGAAAACAAUAGGUAAUGAUAAUAAUUUACUUGACCGAAAAGAAAGAAGUUAACCAAUCUUAGGUUACAAUAUAGCACUUCAACAAAAUCUUGGAGCCAAUAAAAGCUCAAAGAGGAGCUGCCAUUGAUCAUGUGCGCCUCAAACAAAAAGUUCAUCACCACAUUUGUAUAAUCCCAAAGACUAUAAAUUAAACGAACCAAUCUUAGGUUACAAAUUUAGCACAUAAGAAAAUGGAAUUAUUUAUUUCGAUAAUGAAGCUACUAAUUUGUUAUAUAACUUUUCACAUAUAACAAACAAAAGUGGAUAGUCAUACAGAAAAAAGUAAGAAUAUAGAAGUACCUAUUUGUCACUAAGAAUAUAGCGCGACCAGAUUUUUAAGCAUUUUUAGCACUGGAAUUAUCAAGUCAUCCUCACUAAUAUACCUGAUAAUUAAACAACCAUUUAAGGAAAAAGAAAGCACUAAAGAAGCUAGCUAGCUGCAAGAAAAACAUAUAUGUGUGUGACUGUGUUUAGAAACACACACAUAGAUAUUAAUAUAUAAAAAAUGUAAGGCAUGUAUAUAUGUUGGUGUAUACAUAUAAACAAAAUCAAGUUAUGUUAAAAAAUCUGAGUUCUCAAAUAUGCAAAUAAUAUAUGAUAGAUGGCCAACAUCAAAUUUCUACUAUAUACUCUUAACUUUUUAUGACUUGAUUGACCUUAAAAUCUUUCUUAACUUCAUUAUGAAUAACUUAUAACAAAGUCCAAUUCUAUAGUACACAAUUACCUUUAUAAAUCAAUUCUGAUAACUUUUAGUAAUAAAUUGAUCCAAAAACCAUCAAAAUUACCUAAAUGAUUGAAUAUAUCCACUCCCAUCAAAAUUACCUAUAUAAAUUAAUUACCUAAAAGUUGCUAUUAAUGAAAGUUGGAAUCACAAUAAUAUAGCGAGCAUCAGAGAAGAGAGUACCCCCUUUAUUAUAAGGCAGGCCCCCCACGUCCUUUCUUAAUAGAUAGAGCAAUUGUCACAAUGCUUCAAUGUCUUCAACAAGAUCUUCAUCCAUCUCAUUUUUGUUUUCAUUUUCAUCUGAAUACAUAAAAAUAGAAGUUGUACUUUUAGUAAUCUAUAAACAUAAUAUUAAGUUGCAAAGAGAAUGAAUUUUAAUUCCUUCUAAAACAAAUAACCAAUCAUGGGUGCAUAGCAAUGCCUCAACAUUUGAUGAUAACAACGAAGUUUGAUACUUACUUAACACCUGACGCCCGAUAUUAAAAGAUGAUUCGAAAGCAACAGUAGUAAUCGGGAUGCUCAAUAUAUUGCGAGCCAUUACAACCAGUUUUUGAUACCUUCAUUGAUUCUCCUUCCCAUAAUGUAAAUAUCAUCUUCUACUUUUCUAUCAAGGUUAGGUUCAUCCAAAUACAAUGUUAAUUGUGACUUUUCAUUAUAAAAAUUUUUGUAUUGGCUUUGAAAGGUAUCGAACCUAUGUAACUCAUCAAGCGUUUUGUCACCAACAUCUGAGCUCUCGGGUAUUGUAGAAUCAUGCAUUGUUUGUGAUUGAAUAUCAUACUCCUUAUCAUAUAGAUUAGGGAAGUGCAUGGGUCAGUUUGGGUUGGUUAUGAGCUUCUAGAAAACAAAGUCGUGAUGUCAUUAAAAGGUAUCAAAAGUCGAGUGAUAUUCAAUCAUUGACAAUGCAUGAUUCUUCAAUACCGUAUUAAUGUGUCAUAAAAACAAAGUCACGAUGAUGUUUUCUGGAAGUUGCAUGGUUAUAGUAAUCAUUAGAUAUAAGUUGCAUGUAUGAUAUGAGCUUCGAGUAAACAAAGUCGUGAUGUCAAAAAGGUAAUUUAAAGUCGUGUGAUUGUUUCCACCCUUGUCCUUUCUUCUUCUUCUUCUGAUUCUGAUGGAGAAGAUUUUAAAUUUGAAUCCACUAGGGCUAAUUGAGCAAAAUCCCGGCGACAAGCUAAUACAAAAUCAAGCAUAAGAAAUGUAGAGUUCCAUCUGUUACAAUAUCUUGACGAACAUGCUUCCCGCACUGCAAUGAAAGUAUUUCUAUGAAUUAUGCAAAUGUAUACUUCCUAGCAGCACUUGCUCGGACAUACUUCAUUGACACUUGAACCUUUUCAAUGGCUCCUUCAAUUACUUUCAAUCAAGCUUGAACGAUAAGAUUUAACAACGCUAAACAAUGCACAUGAAUAAAAUCUCCAUCACACACUAAUACAUUAUUCAAAUGCAAAUGACCUUUUAAACAAUCUACUAAAAUAUCAUUAUAUAUUGCAUUGUCUAGUGUGAUAGUAGAAACUUUUUUCUCAAUGCCCUAAUUUGCUAAACAAAUUAUCAAGUGCUCUGCUAUAAUGGAACCACUAUGUGGAGGGGCUGUCACUCUAAAGUCUAGCACUUUUUUUCUUAUAUACCAGUUCUCAUCAACAUAAUGAGCUGUCACUGCUAUAUAUUCAUCUGUCGUGAUAGAACUCCAUAAAUCAGAAGACACGCAUAUUGUCACACCCCGAAUUUCCAACCAUAACCCGGUAGGCCUGGUGGGGAGUAUCGUGACGGAAGAUUGACAUAGUUAUGGUCAAACAUACACAGAAUAGCAAAGCGGAAGUCUUGGAAUAUAAAAUAUUAUUACAAACUCAGUUGUCCGAAAAUAUCAGAGUAAUAAUUACAGACGAGCUUGUAAUAAUAAUCCAGAGGCGGAUCAUUAUGUACAAAAGGAUUUCAACAGACUAAUAGGCUUAUGCAAUUAUACAAAGGAGUUGCAAA